rnacentral:rRNA from 1 species
UCCUUUCUAAACUUUUGCAUAAAAAAGGUAUUUUAAUUCAACAUCGAGGUCAUAAACUCACUUGUCAAUUUGAUCUUUCUAAGUGAAUUAAGCUGUUAUCCCUAAAGUAACUUACUCCUUCUUUAGAAUUUCUAGGUAUUUAAACAUGUUUGUCUUUCUUUUUAAGAAAAGAUUAUUUUCCCACCGCCCCAGUUAAAUACUUUUUCUUUCUUUUAAAACAGUAAAAGUAUAAAGUUUUAUAGGGUCUUCUUGUCUAAAAGAUCUAUUUCAGCCUUCUUACUAAAAAGUAAAAUUUAUUUUUUUGUAUAAAAAAAAAUUCUCCCGGUUUACUCUUUCAUUCCAGUCCCAAAUUAAAAGA